GGGUUGUGAGGUUAAGCGACCAAGCGUACACGGUGGAUGCCUUGGCAGUCAGAGGCGAUGAAGGACGUGCUAAUCUGCGAUAAGCGCCGGUAAGGUGAUAUGAACCGUUAUAACCGGCGAUUUCCGAAUGGGGAAACCCAGUGUGAUUCGUCACACUAUCAUUACGUGAAUACAUAGCGUAAUGAAGCGAACCGGGGGAACUGAAACAUCUAAGUACCCCGAGGAAAAGAAAUCAACCGAGAUUCCCCCAGUAGCGGCGAGCGAACGGGGAGGAGCCCAGAGCCUGAAUCAGCAUGUGUGUUAGUGGAAGCGUCUGGAAAGGCGCGCGAUACAGGGUGACAGCCCCGUACACAAAAGCGCAUGUGCUGUGAGCUCGAUGAGUAGGGCGGGACACGUGGUAUCCUGUCUGAAUAUGGGGGGACCAUCCUCCAAGGCUAAAUACUCCUGACUGACCGAUAGUGAACCAGUACCGUGAGGGAAAGGCGAAAAGAACCCCGGCGAGGGGAGUGAAACAGAACCUGAAACCGUGUACGUACAAGCAGUGGGAGCACAGGUUUACCUGUGUGACUGCGUACCUUUUGUAUAAUGGGUCAGCGACUUAUAUUCUGUAGCAAGGUUAACCGUAUAGGGGAGCCGAAGGGAAACCGAGUCUUAAUUGGGCGUUAAGUUGCAGGGUAUAGACCCGAAACCCGGUGAUCUAGCCAUGGGCAGGUUGAAGGUUGGGUAACACUAACUGGAGGACCGAACCGACUAAUGUUGAAAAAUUAGCGGAUGACCUGUGGCUGGGGGUGAAAGGCCAAUCAAACCGGGAGAUAGCUGGUUCUCCCCGAAAGCUAUUUAGGUAGCGCCUCGUGAAUUCAUCUCCGGGGGUAGAGCACUGUUUCGGCUAGGGGGCCAUCCCGGCUUACCAACCCGAUGCAAACUGCGAAUACCGGAGAAUGUUAUCACGGGAGACACACGGCGGGUGCUAACGUCCGUCGUGAAGAGGGAAACAACCCAGACCGCCAGCUAAGGUCCCAAAGUCAUGGUUAAGUGGGAAACGAUGUGGGAAGGCCCAGACAGCCAGGAUGUUGGCUUAGAAGCAGCCAUCAUUUAAAGAAAGCGUAAUAGCUCACUGGUCGAGUCGGCCUGCGCGGAAGAUGUAACGGGGCUAAACCAUGCACCGAAGCUGCGGCAGCGAACGUAUCACUUAAAACGAUUCAGAAGCUUACGAUUGACGGAGCGAAGCGACGUCAAAGCGUAUACAAAGUCGAGUCGGUUUAAGGAUACGUUCGUUGGGUAGGGGAGCGUUCUGUAAGCCUGCGAAGGUGGCCUGUGAGGGUUGCUGGAGGUAUCAGAAGUGCGAAUGCUGACAUAAGUAACGAUAAAGCGGGUGAAAAGCCCGCUCGCCGGAAGACCAAGGGUUCCUGUCCAACGUUAAUCGGGGCAGGGUGAGUCGACCCCUAAGGCGAGGCCGAAAGGCGUAGUCGAUGGGAAACGGGUUAAUAUUCCCGUACUUGGUGUUACUGCGAAGGGGGGACGGAGAAGGCUAUGUUGGCCGGGCGACGGUUGUCCCGGUUUAAGCGUGUAGGCUGACUUUCCAGGCAAAUCCGGAGAGUCAAGGCUGAGGCGUGACGACGAGGCACCACGGUGCUGAAGCAACAAAUGCCCUGCUUCCAGGAAAAGCCUCUAAGCAUCAGGUAACAUCAAAUCGUACCCCAAACCGACACAGGUGGUCAGGUAGAGAAUACCAAGGCGCUUGAGAGAACUCGGGUGAAGGAACUAGGCAAAAUGGUGCCGUAACUUCGGGAGAAGGCACGCUGACACGUAGGUGAAGUGGUUUACCCAUGGAGCUGAAGUCAGUCGAAGAUACCAGCUGGCUGCAACUGUUUAUUAAAAACACAGCACUGUGCAAACACGAAAGUGGACGUAUACGGUGUGACGCCUGCCCGGUGCCGGAAGGUUAAUUGAUGGGGUCAGCGCAAGCGAAGCUCCUGAUCGAAGCCCCGGUAAACGGCGGCCGUAACUAUAACGGUCCUAAGGUAGCGAAAUUCCUUGUCGGGUAAGUUCCGACCUGCACGAAUGGCGUAAUGAUGGCCAGGCUGUCUCCACCCGAGACUCAGUGAAAUUGAACUCGCUGUGAAGAUGCAGUGUACCCGCGGCAAGACGGAAAGACCCCGUGAACCUUUACUAUAGCUUGACACUGAACAUUGAGCCUUGAUGUGUAGGAUAGGUGGGAGGCUUUGAAGCGUGGACGCCAGUCUGCGUGGAGCCGACCUUGAAAUACCACCCUUUAAUGUUUGAUGUUCUAACGUGGACCCGUGAUCCGGGUUGCGGACAGUGUCUGGUGGGUAGUUUGACUGGGGCGGUCUCCUCCUAAAGAGUAACGGAGGAGCACGAAGGUUGGCUAAUCCUGGUCGGACAUCAGGAGGUUAGUGCAAUGGCAUAAGCCAGCUUGACUGCGAGCGUGACGGCGCGAGCAGGUGCGAAAGCAGGUCAUAGUGAUCCGGUGGUUCUGAAUGGAAGGGCCAUCGCUCAACGGAUAAAAGGUACUCCGGGGAUAACAGGCUGAUACCGCCCAAGAGUUCAUAUCGACGGCGGUGUUUGGCACCUCGAUGUCGGCUCAUCACAUCCUGGGGCUGAAGUAGGUCCCAAGGGUAUGGCUGUUCGCCAUUUAAAGUGGUACGCGAGCUGGGUUUAGAACGUCGUGAGACAGUUCGGUCCCUAUCUGCCGUGGGCGCUGGAGAACUGAGGGGGGCUGCUCCUAGUACGAGAGGACCGGAGUGGACGCAUCACUGGUGUUCGGGUUGUCAUGCCAAUGGCACUGCCCGGUAGCUAAAUGCGGAAGAGAUAAGUGCUGAAAGCAUCUAAGCACGAAACUUGCCCCGAGAUGAGUUCUCCCUGAGACUAUAAGUCUCCUGAAGGAACGUUGAAGACGACGACGUUGAUAGGCCGGGUGUGUAAGCGCAGCGAUGCGUUGAGCUAACCGGUACUAAUGAACCGUGAGGCUUAACCUUACAACGCCGAAGCUGUU
rnacentral:rRNA from 2 species